rnacentral:rRNA from 1 species
CAAUAGCGUAUAUUAAAGUUGUUGCGGUUAAAAAGCUCGUAGUUGGAUUUCUGCUGAGAACGACCGGUCCGCCCAUUGGGUGUGUAUCUGGCUCUUUCUUGGCAUCUUCUUGGUGAACGUUACUGCACUUGACUGUGUGGAGCGCUACCCAGGACUUUUACUUUGAGGAAAUUAGAGUGUUUCAAGCAGGCAUACGCCUUGAAUACGUUAGCAUGGAAUAAUAAGAUAGGACCUCGGUUCUAUUUUGUUGGUUUCUAGAGCUGAGGUAAUGAUUAAUAGGGAUAGUUGGGGGCAUUCGUAUUUAACUGUCAGAGGUGAAAUUCUUGGAUUUGUUAAGGACGGACUACUGCGAAAGCAUUUGCCAAGGAUGUUUUCAUUGA